CAUGCAGUCGAACGGCAGCGCGGACUUCGGUCUGGCGGCGAGUGGCGAACGGGUGAGUAAUACAUCGGAACGUACCCUGUUGUGGGGGAUAACUAGUCGAAAGAUUAGCUAAUACCGCAUACGACCUGAGGGUGAAAGCGGGGGACCGAAAGGCCUCGCGCAGCAGGAGCGGCCGAUGUCUGAUUAGCUAGUUGGUGGGGUAAAGGCCCACCAAGGCGACGAUCAGUAGCUGGUCUGAGAGGACGAUCAGCCACACUGGGACUGAGACACGGCCCAGACUCCUACGGGAGGCAGCAGUGGGGAAUUUUGGACAAUGGGGGCAACCCUGAUCCAGCAAUGCCGCGUGUGUGAAGAAGGCCUUCGGGUUGUAAAGCACUUUUGUCCGGAAAGAAAGCGCGCUGGUUAAUACCUGGCGUGGAUGACGGUACCGGAAGAAUAAGCACCGGCUAACUACGUGCCAGCAGCCGCGGUAAUACGUAGGGUGCGAGCGUUAAUCGGAAUUACUGGGCGUAAAGCGUGCGCAGGCGGUUUUGUAAGACAGGCGUGAAAUCCCCGAGCUCAACUUGGGAAUUGCGCUUGUGACUGCAAGGCUAGAGUAUGUCAGAGGGGGGUAGAAUUCCACGUGUAGCAGUGAAAUGCGUAGAGAUGUGGAGGAAUACCGAUGGCGAAGCAGCCCCCUGGGACGUCACUGACGCUCAUGCACGAAAGCGUGGGGAGCAAACAGGAUUAAUACCCUGGUAGUCCACGCCCUAAACGAUGUC
rnacentral:rRNA from 1 species